GUCCAGCUCCAACCCUGCAGCUGGGAGAGGAGCCCCAGCCCCGGGAGUCCCAGGUGUUCCCAUUCUGUGAUCAGCACAGAACACACACACCUCACCAUGGAGUUUGUGCUGGGCUGGGUUUUCCUGGUUGCUCUUUUAAAAGGUGUACUGUGUGACGAGAAGCUGGAGGAGACUGGAGGAGAACUGGUGAAGCCGGGGGAGUCCCUGAGACUCACCUGUGUGGCCUCUGGAUUCACCUUCAGUAGCUACUACAUGCACUGGGUCCGCCAGGCUCCAGGGAAGGGACUGCAGUGGGUCGCACGCAUUUAUGCUGAUGGAAGUAGUACAAACUACGCAGACUCCGUGAAGGGCCGAUUCACCAUCUCCAGAGACAACGCCAAGAACACGCUGUAUCUGCAGAUGAACAACCUCAAGAAUGAGGACAUGGCCACAUAUUACUGUGCAAGAGACACGGUGAGGGGACCUCGCUGGCAGCCCAGACACAAACCUCCCUGCAGGAGGGGAUCAGCACCACCAGGGGGCGCACACUAUGCACAAUUCUCCUUUGUGUUCCCAGGAGCAGGUGCAUUUGGAGGAUACAUGCAGGUUUCCUGUCAGGGUCUGGGGUUUCCUCUCAACACAGCAGUUCCUGGACACAGGAUUCUGUGCUUACCUAUUAACUUUCUGAAUUAG